rnacentral:ncRNA from 1 species
ACUAAGGGUAGAGGUGCAUUAUCUAUCAGUAACUGGCGGGAGGUGACCCCGAAGAACGUCAGUGAAAGGAGCUAAUGCCGAAGUAAGGCGGAUCUGUCAAAUCACCUUGCUGGGGUUGUCACCGAAAGGGAUAACACUGCCAUAGUAACUUACAAUUAACUAUGGAGCGCUACUGUGGGG